rnacentral:rRNA from 1 species
GAUGAACGCUGGCGGCGUGCCUAAUACAUGCAAGUCGAGCGAACGGACGAGAAGCUUGCUUCUCUGAUGUUAGCGGCGGACGGGUGAGUAACACGUGGAUAACCUACCUAUAAGACUGGGAUAACUUCGGGAAACCGUAGCUAAUACCGGAUAAUAUUUUGAACCGCAUGGUUCAAAAGUGAAAGACGGUCUUGCUGUCACUUAUAGAUGGAUCCGCGCUGCAUUGGCUAGUUGGUAAGGUAACGGCUUACCAAGGCAACGAUGCAUAGCCGACCUGAGAGGGUAAUCGGCCACACGGAACUGAGACACGGUCCAGACUCCUACGGGAGGCAGCAGUAGGGAAUCUUCCGCAAUGGGCGAAAGCCUGACGGAGCAACGCCGCGUGAGUGAUGAAGGUCUUCGGAUCGUAAAACUCUGUUAUUAGGGAAGAACAUAUGUGUAAGUAACUGUGCACAUCUUGACGGUACCUAAUCAGAAAGCCACGGCUAACUACGUG